UAGGGAAUUUUCGUCAAUGGGCGCAAGCCUGAACGAGCAAUGCCGCGUGAACGAGGAAGGUCUUCGGAUCGUAAAGUUCUGUUGAAGGGGAAAAAGGAAGCGGAGAGAGGAAAUGCUUUCUGAUUGAUAUUACCCUUCGAGGAAGUCACGGCUAACUACGUGCC
rnacentral:rRNA from 1 species